GAAUUACUGGCUUGUAAAAAAUUCUGCCAGUUCAUAAAAAUGCUGUGUACCUUGCUACCUAUUCAAGUCAAAGUGGGAAAUCACAAGAAUGACGUGUAAAGAUGUGGCUUGUGUUGGUUGUGAUUGUGGUUACGUGGAAUGUUGUUUGGGUAGAAUGAUGUAUUUCUAGAACUUCAGUAAAUGCCAGAAUCUUAACAGUGGAGCAUUUAGAGAGAGAGUCGGAAGUUGAAUGCAUGGCAUCUCAAUUUGGAGAUGUUAACACUGUUUUGGAAAUGGCCUAUUCAUAAGGAGGUAUUUUUUUUCUGUAUAGUACUUUUAGUUUCAGAAAAUGUAAUUUAUAUUUGUGCUGAGUGAUGGGUUAUAAACAUAUUCAGAAAGCAAUCCUAAUCUCUGAAUGUGUUUCAUUUAAAAAGAGUUUUGGGGGAACUGAAAUCUCCUCACUGUUUCAUAUGAGAAAAAUGUUUGAUUUUCUAUUAUGUCUGUGGUGUGUGUUCCCUA
rnacentral:lncRNA from 1 species